rnacentral:lncRNA from 1 species
UGUUUCAUAUGAAAUAUUUUUUAGGAUAAAAAUUUCUAUUUUAUGUGAGUUUAACUUGCUCUUCAGAAUAGUCUCAAAUGUGCUAUAGGAUAGUGGCACAUGGAUGUAGGGGUCACUGCUCAGUCUUUCCUACUCCUUUGUCCUCUCUAAGUUGGCAUCUGGUACUGAAGGACUUUCAGCAUUUCCGAGCUCUGAGCGCCAUAGGGCUGAUAUUUAAGAAGCUUUUGGGACUCAGUUUGUUGAUGUGGAGUGGGAGAAGUAGCAGUGAGUGGAGGAGAGUGGAGGAGAACGGAGGAAAGUGACAUCUAUUCUUAAUGGAGGGGAGGGUCAGGUCAGACAUCAGGAGAUACCAGGGAGGGAGUAGCCCUAAGGGGAAUUGUUUUGGGUUCCCCAGCUGCCUGGAUACUGGCUCUUCCCUCUCUUCUACUCCUUUCCCAGUCAGGUUCACUGUGAUUGAAUUUUUUUCGGACAGGUUUUAGUUUUAUUUCUCUUUUACCCUAGACCCAGAUUUGAGAGCUGGCACUAUCAUGACCCUGGCAGAUUGUUUUUCUAUUCUCCUUUUUAUUGAAGCGUCCAACUAUUAAGUUUGAAUAGUCUCUUCCUUUAAUUCGGUGUAUUUUUGCUUCAUGCAUUUUGGGGCUGUGUUGUUAGGUACAUACACUUUAAUUAUUUUUAUAUCUUCUUG